rnacentral:rRNA from 1 species
GAUGAACGCUAUCUACAGGCUUAACACAUGCAAGUCGAGGGGCAGCAUGACGAUAGCUUGCUAUUGUCGAUGGCGACCGGCGCACGGGUGAGUAACGCGUAUCCAACCUUCCCAUAGCUAGGGAAUAACCUUGCGAAAGUAAGACUAAUGUCCUAUGUUGUUCUUUGCAGACAUCUAAAGAGAACGAAAGAUUUAUCGGCUAUGGAUGGGGAUGCGUCUGAUUAGGUUGUUGGCGGGGUAACGGCCUACCAAGCCUACGAUCAGUAGGGGUUCUGAGAGGAAGGUCCCCCACAUUGGAACUGAGACACGGUCCAAACUCCUACGGGAGGCAGCAGUGAGGAAUAUUGGUCAAUGGGCGAGAGCCUGAACCAGCCAAGUAGCGUGCAGGAUGACGGCCCUAUGGGUUGUAAACUGCUUUUAUAAGGGAAUAAAGUGAGCCUCGUGAGGCUUUUUGCAUGUACCUUAUGAAUAAGGACCGGCUAAUUCCGUGCCAGCAGCCGCGGUAAUACGGAAGGUCCGGGCGUUAUCCGGAUUUAUUGGGUUUAAAGGGAGCGUAGGCCGGAGAUUAAGCGUGUUGUGAAAUGUAGAUGCUCAACAUCUGCACUGCAGCGCGAACUGGUUUCCUUGAGUACGCACAAAGUGGGCGGAAUUCGUGGUGUAGCGGUGAAAUGCUUAGAUAUCACGAAGAACUCCGAUUGCGAAGGCAGCUCACUGGAGCGCAACUGACGCUGAAGCUCGAAAGUGCGGGUAUCGAACAGG